CGUGUAGGCGGCUUAUUAAGUCAGAUGUGAAAGCCCACGGCUUAACCGUGGAACUGCAUUUGAAACUGGUAGGCUUGAGUAUGAGAAGGGGUAGUGGAAUUCCCAGUGUAGCGGUGAAAUGCGUAGAUAUUGGGAAGAACACCAGUAGCGAAGGCGACUACCUGGCUCAUUACUGACGCUAAUGCGCGAAAGCGCGGGGAGCAAACAGGAUUAGAUACCCUGGUAGUCC
rnacentral:rRNA from 1 species